rnacentral:rRNA from 1 species
UACGAAGGGGGCUAGCGUUGUUCGGAUUUACUGGGCGUAAAGCGCACGUAGGCGGGUUGUUACGUCAGGGGUGAAAUCCUGGAGCUCAACUCCAGAACUGCCUUUGAUACUGGCAACCUAGAGGCUGGAAGAGGUUAGUGGAAUUCCCAGUGUAGAGGUGAAAUUCGUAGAUAUUGGGAAGAACACCAGGGGCGAAGGCGGCUAACUGGUCCAGAUCUGACGCUGAGGUGCGAAAGCGUGGGGAGCAAACAGG